CUCUUCUCAACAGGUCUGUUUGAGGUCCGAGCCCAAGAGUAUCUGGAAACUCUCCCCAGUGGAGAGCAUAGCGGUGUCAAUAAGUUCCUGAAGGGACUAGGCAAUAAAAUGAAGUUUCUUCACAAGAAAUAACCUUCAGCUCAGCCUCAAGGGAGAACUUCCUCCUGGUGAGACCACAUGUUUUAAAAGCAGUUCCUGGUGGCCUUUCUGAAAGGUGGGGUCCUUGGUUGUCCCGGUGCUGGGAUAGAGACGAGGACGGUGUCCAGCCCCACUGGGCUCUCUCGGGACCGGGCCUGAAAGCCACCCGGGAGGCGCCGCUUGUCCAGGACAGCACGGGAAAGGGAGCCCGAGACCAGGCCCAUCGCUGAUGUGCCAGUGGACUGUUUCAGUGGUUGGUUGUCGGAUUUGGGGUUUUUUAAUCUUAGACAUUAAAAAAAAGAAAAGUG